UACGUAGGGUACAAGCGUUGUCCGGAAUUAUUGGGCGUAAAGAGCUCGUAGGCGGCUUGUUAGGUGAGGUGUGAAAGCCCUCGGCCCAACCGAGGAAUUGCGCUUCAAACCGGCAAGCUAGAGGAGGAUAGAGGUGGGCGGAACUGAUGGUGGAGCGGUGAAAUGCGUUGAUAUCAGGAGGAACACCAGUGGCGAAGGCGACUACCUGGCCUGUUCUUGACGCUGAGGCGCGAAAGCUAGGGGAGCAAACGGG
rnacentral:rRNA from 1 species